rnacentral:lncRNA from 1 species
AUGGUUGUUACCCCAGCUAGAUCCAGACUUGCUGUAAAGUGGGAAGCCCUUUAUGCAGCUGGCUCUAACCUCCCCAGAUACCUGCUAGAUCUGGAGGAGGCUGCAUGGUUUUCCUACUGCACAGCAGUUAAGAGACCCUCAAGGAAUUUUUUUUCUUUUUCUUUUUCUUUUUCCUUUUUUUUUUUUUACCUCUCCCAAGCCUCUGCAUUAUGGCUUUUCAUACCAUGUAGGAAAAUUAUUUUUGAUUAACAACUUGAACACACUAGUGUAAGAAACACAGGAGCAAAACUCCUGCUAUUCACCUGCUACCAAAGGCAACCACACCAUUUCUUCCCUCUUCUGAACUGUUCUCCUCCUGUGCUAAAGUAGUAAGGACUUCUACCAUCACAGAACUUCUCACCACUGGACGAAGCAAUUUCUACAGCUUACAACCAGAACUCAUGUAGCUGGUACAUCAAACUGUUGUGUCUGUGCAGGACCACAACCGGUGUUUGCAUUGUGUGUAGCUUCCCCAUUCUUCUGACCAUCCCAGAAGCAGGAUUCUGGGUCACUUCCUGCUUGAAUUUGGUUGCCAGUGUCAUGAAUCCAUUCUCAUCCUUGGAAGAAAUUCCUCACUGACACAUCUCCAGGACUGAUUUCUCUCUCCCUUUUAUUUUAUUUUCUUCCACCUGCAUUAAACCAUAAGUUAGCCACUAUCAUAGUAGCAGCCGAUGGCUUCUUCACUUGAAAAUAUUUGUUUUCCAUGGAAGUUAAAGUUUGCAUUACGUUGUGUUUUACAGGCCCUUAAAUUUCCUUCUAUUUCUACCACUUGGGUGUUCAGGUGAUACAUAUUUUUCUGUAUUUCCUCAUUUUUCUUCUUUCCUUAGAAUGGCUGUGCUUGGCUUCACCAUGUUAACAACCUUGCUUGGUGUGUUCACAUGUUACAGCUUCCACCAGUGCUUAGUCCAAAUAUCGCUUGUAUCCCUUUCACAGCUUGUCAGGAAAAGCAGCAUGGUCACAAAGGCCUAUGCACAUUGCUGCUUACAAUAAAUAAUACAAUGAAAAGUGGUAUGUUUUUGCU